rnacentral:rRNA from 1 species
UACGUAGGGGGCGAGCGUUGUCCGGAAUCAUUGGGCGUAAAGCGCGUGUAGGCGGCCCGGUAAGUCCGCUGUGAAAGUCCAGGGCUCAACCCUGGGAUGCCGGUGGAUACUGUCGGGCUCGAGUCCGGAAGAGGCGAGUGGAAUUCCCGGUGUAGCGGUGAAAUGCGCAGAUAUCGGGAGGAACACCAAUGGCGAAGGCAGCUCGCUGGGACGGUACUGACGCUGAGGCGCGAAAGCGUGGGGAGCAAACAGG